GCAAGUAUGCUACUAAAGAAUGAAAAAGGUGUUACCACAGGAUCAAGUUUAUUUAUUUUCAUCAGAGAUGCAGAUCGAACAGAGUACACUCCCUCCAAACUAAGCUUCCAAGAUCAAGAAUCCACACCGUCAGACAACGGGCACUCGCCCAUCACAUUCAAUAAAUCAACCACUUAAGUGUUCUCCCAAACAAACAAUCUACGCCUCCAUAUCAUGUCCCACACCCACCCAUCAUCGACCCAAGAGCAUAUACCACCUACUGACGAGGAUUGUGGAAUCGAAACCUGAAACAACCUCAAAAACCUCACCCUCAGUGGUACACCACCUACUAACAGUCACAAUUUUAUCCUCUCAUCUCUCACAAUAAAACAUGCUCUCACUUGAUCUGCCAUAUAUAUAUAUAUACUCAUUUACCCAGUAUUUUUCCUAUGUUUCUUUCUUUUUCUUGUUAUGUUUUAUGAAUGAGAAGUGAGAAGAAAACAGAACCAAUCAGCUUUUAAUCAUUAAGGUGUUCAAUGAUUUAACCAUGUAAUGAAGCUACACAAAUUGCAUACAGGGAUCUCAUGCACAAAAGGUAAAUUUGCAACAAGAAGACCAACCACUCAAUGAUGAAUGACAACAAGCAUUAAAAAGCAACAAUCAAACAACCAGAUAGCUAGAGGGAAUCUCAAGUUAUCAAGCUAUGAAGAAACUGAGAGUUAGAAGACUUGUCAAAAUAUAGGAAUGACAAACGUUUUAGUCUCAACUAAUACUCAACAAGGUAAAAUGUUUUGAGAAUUAGUAGUAGUGAAAAAUAGAAUAGAUGAUCAUUUUUUAUAACAAAGUGAGAUGUUAUGAGAAUUAGUGCUAGUGAAUAAUAGAUGAAAUCCAAAAACUAAAACUAGAUAAUAGAGUUCAACUUGAUGUCAAAAAAGAACAGACAAAGACAUAUGAAAGAGCUGAAUGCUCUGCAUCUUCAUCUCCUAGACUCCUAUAGCAACUGCUCCUCCCCUAAUCAUCAUGUUCAUCAGUAAUACUAAGUACAUUUGUACAUCUAUGAGAUCACCCUUUGUUGUAGUCAUGAUCUCUGCAUAAGAAAAUUUAAACACUCAUGAACAUGAGAAUUGAUGCCAUAAACACACAGUUACUAUAAUACGAUACAAGAUGAGUACAUGUUUAAAGAUUAUAAUUAAGAGCUUUUAUAUUUAUAUAUAUAAAAAAAUGUUUACAUGUU
rnacentral:lncRNA from 1 species